GGCGCUGACGGGCAGGGAGCGCCGGGCGCGGAGCUGCUGGUGAGUGGAGGGGGUUUCCCGCCCGGUGUGGGCCCGCGCCGCUCCGGGGGACGGUGUGGAGGCGCUGCGGUAACAGUUUUGGUGACGCCUGUGGAACCCUGCUUCUAGACCAACAGAUCCGUGGGAUUAUGGGACCUCCAGCCAGCACCGAGGGAUUCUUGGGGAGAGCCACUAAUCCCUGGACCAAAGAGCUCGAAGUAAGACCCCUGGAUAUAAACCCCAAAAGGGACAAGAUACCUCGAGGAAAUAGAAGAUGCAGUGAUUCCCAUCGUUUGGGCAGGAGGAGUUCCAGGAAGGUCUAAGGGAGGAACCAGCAAGAAUUAAUCUAAACCCAGGAUUGUUACUGCUCAAGAUGUGUCAGCUACUCUCUUCCCUCUUACGGUUAUGAAACAGAUCUGCUACUGAAUAUGGAGACUUGAUGAUAUUUCACAAGGAUUUGAAUCAUGCAAUUGGAAGACUUGCAGAAGAAAUGUCACCUGGCACUGGGUGAUGAAGCUAUAAGCUGUGCAAGGCUGCCCUGGACAAAGGAUACCUGUGCCUCCAGUGUGAAAAGCAAUUUCACCUGUUGCUGAUGUUGAAGACAAGGCCUUCCUAAUUGAAGGUAACUGAAAAUCAUUUUUUAGAUGGAUGCUACAUUUUGCUGUGCUGUGUUUGAGCUUGGGAGUUUGCUUUUGGAGAUAAGAGGGUCUGCAAAUCCAUUUUGUGUCUGGAGAAUCUGAAGCAAAGAUAAUAGUACCCUAAGUGUGCCUUCAGAUCCCCUAUGCUUCACAAUAAAAGCAUUAAUUAAUUGUUUUGCGAUGUUAAAAGAAUGUGCCUGUUGAGACUAAAUGGUGUAUGUGGCAGUACUAUGUAUGAAUUUAGCAUCUGAAAUGCUUUUCCUGGUUUAGGCCAACUUAGGUGUUUACGCAAAGUUCAUGUCGCUGAACUCUGCAACUUAGAGGUUUGUUCCUUUCUGCAAUUCCAGCAGUCUCUGGAGUUGAAUUGGCAUCUCAAGGGUGUUGGGUAGAUUGCUGGGAGAUGGCUUUAGGCCCCCCUUGUAGAAGGGUGUGGGAGUGUUGCAGUCUACUGUAGAUGAUGUUGAAUCAGGUCUCUGAUCCCAGUGAGGAUAAAACUUGACGAAACACUGAUACAGUAUUUCACUGGAACUGUUCCUAUGCUAAAACUUUCUGCUGGACCCUGUCUAAUAGCAACUCUUCCUUUGCAGGCUUCCAAAUGUUUCUCAUUGCAAUGGCUGGUGUGGUGAAGCUGUGAAGUGGUGUGGUUGGUAGUGCUACCAGCAAAAAUUUGAGAAUGGGAGAACUGCUGGCUACUGGGUGACAGAUGCUUCUUACUUGAGUGAAGCUUGUGGGGAGUUUGUGUAAGAAACAAGACUUACAUCUGAGGGAAGAAGGACUGUACUGUCUGCAACCUCAUUGGGUGAGGAGGCAACUUUGAAACUGCUGUAUGAAGAACCAAGAAGGUGGAAGAUUGCAGAAUAAUGGGUUACUCUUGCAUGAACAGCAUUAAACAAGCCAAGAUUUUUUUACCACACUGGUAAUGUUUGCCUGAUACUGAUUGGAAUGAAUAAAAAUUUGUAAACUCUA